rnacentral:lncRNA from 10 species
GCGUCUCUUUCUGGGCCGUGGAGCUGUCCGCUCUGAAACCUGAGGAAGUCGUAGUUCAGGGAGGGGUAGCUCUUGCACCUAGGCCGUUAGGAACGAGUUUUAGGUUCGAAUCCCAUCUUAUGGAAGGUGGUAUUGGUCCCUUGGGUGUCCCACCCGUCUCAGCCAAACUGCGGGCCAUUUCCCGGGGCGAGCAAGGGGAGUUACCGCGCCAGUGGGUGGACUCGCCGCCUCUCGGAGUCGGGAGGAAGUCGAGCUGGGGUGCAGUUACGAGUCUCAGUUAAUAAUGAAUAGGGUGGCCAAUGGUGGGCCAGGCACAGUGGCUCACGCCUGUAAUCCCAGCACUUUGGGAGGCCGAGGCGGGCGGAUCACGAGGUUAGGAGAUAAGAGACCAGCCUGGCUAAUAUGGUGAAACCUCGUCUUUACUAAAAAUAAAAAAAUUAGCUGGGCAUGGUGGCGGGCGCCUGUAGUCCCGGCUACUCGGGAGGCUGUGGCAGGAGAAUCGCUUGAACCGAGGAGGCAGAGGUUGCAGUGAGCCGACAUCGCGCCACUGCACUCCAGCAUGGCGACAAAGCGAGACUACGUCUCAAACAAACAAACAAACAAACAAACAAAAAAAACAAAAAGAAAAGGAAAAAAAAGGGUGGCCAAUAUAGUGAAACCCCCUCUCUACUAAAAAUACAAAAAUUAGCUGGGCGUGGUGGCGCGCGCCUGUAGUCCCAGCUACUCGGGAGGCUGAGGCAGAAGAAUCGCUUGAAGCCGGGAGGCAAAGGUUGCAGUGACCCGAGAUUGCGCUACUGCACUCCAGCCUGGGCGACAGAGCGAGGUUCCGUCUCGAAAAAAAAAACAACGAAAAGGGGACUCACUUCGGAGAAGCUGCCCUCUCUGCAAACUUAUUUGAGUGAACUUCUAUAAAGGGCCAGACAGUACACAUUUUAGGCUCUGCGAUCUCCUUAUGGUUGAAAGUUCUACUGUUGUAGCACAAAAUCAGCCUUGGACAGUAAGCAAAUAGGUGUGGCUGUGUUCCAACAAAACUUCACUGAAAUUUGAAUUUCACUGUAAUUUUCACGUGUCACGAAAUAUUUUAACCGUUUAAAAAUGUAAAAAUAAUGUGUGUGUGUGUGCGCGCGCGUGUUAGCUUGGGCCGCCAGCUAGCAGUAGUUUGCCAAUUCUUGGUAGAGAAAGAGAGCAGUCUCCACCUAGGUCUGGGAAUUCAGGGAGAGAGGUGCUGGCCAAAAUAACAGUUCAUGGCCUGCUUUUCUAGAUCUGGGAGUGAGUAGGACUACUACUAGACUCUCAUUUGACCUCUCCUUUGGGAAUCGCAGGGUAUAUAGUGCCCACUGAUUGGUGGGAAUUUUGUCAAGGUGGGUGUGAUAAUCUGGCUUCUUUCCCUUCCCAGCUCUUUAUAGUCUUUCUUUCUUUUUUAUCGUUCUCUCCCUCUCUCUCUUUAGAGAUGUGGUCUUGCUAUGUUGCCCGGGCUGAGUGCAGUGACUAUUCACAGGCCGGAUCUAGUGCACUGCAGUCUUGAACUCCUGGCUUACAGUCCUGCUGGUUCUGAGAGGCAGGGGAAGAAACGGCCACCAUGCUCUGCAGCUAGGUCUCAGCAUGAGGACCAAGAACCCUGGUGUUCCUCCACUCAUCGGAGCCGUAUCAUUUUGGUGCAUUGGCCAGGAAAGGAAAUUCAAUCAUGAGACUGGUGAGUAUGGAGCGGAUUUCAACUUUAUAUCUGUUCUUUAGUCUCAAGGCUCUCUUCCAGCUACCCUGUCGCCAAAACUUUCUUUCUAUCUGUGGUCUCUCUGUGUGUCUAAUGUGCAGGAUUCUGUCUGUUAGAAAAGAUCGUGAAUCACGGCAUGCAGUAACUCAAUAAGUGUCUCUCUCUCUCUCUACGUUUUCUCUGGCAAGCACAUGGUAUUUCUAAGCCACCUAGUAGAAAUCAGGCUGUAGGCCUCUUCUAAGAAUGGGAAGUUUCUGCUUUUAACAGUUAGGAGUAGGAUGUCUUCCAUGGCCAAAUUUUAGUCUCAAUAUUGUCCCACUGGCAGGAAAACGGCCAUUCAGUUCCUAUGUUCCUUUAAGCCAUCUAUUCUGGCUCCUACUAAGACAGUGCUUAAUUAGUAAGGGGAUUUUAAGUCCAGAAGUUAACCGGAACCAUUCUUCUAUGGGUAAAUGCUUUAGCAUGGGCUAUAAUGGCAGGAUAUAGAGUUCAAUCUAUCACAUCCCCUCCCUUAAAGGGUCUCUUCCCAAUUACAUGGUUUUUCUUCAAAUCCAUUUUUUGGGAGGCACACAGGCCACCCAAGUCUAGGAGGUCAAAGGUAAAUAAAAGGCAGAGAACUGAUUGCUUGGGAACAGCGUGACUAUGGCCCAAAACUCAGAUCCUCUGGUGCCAUGGCUUGGAGGGUCACACCUGCAGUCAUGGGUGGAACAUUUAAAUGAGUGCUGGGAAUCCAGGAACAAAAGAGAAAAUAGUUGGGGGACGCCUCCUACUGCUUUCUUCUCCAUCCUGGAUUUCAUACCAAAAGGAAGGAGACUAAAAGGACGCUUUUAUUCUCACUUCUCUUUCUAGAUGGGUAACAGACCAUCUUCAACAUGCACUUCUCUUGAGUGUAUUUUGAAGCACUAGGACUCUUUCGACCUUGAAACUUUGAAGAAAAAGUGGCUUAUUUUCUUUUGCAGUCAUAUCAGGCAGGCCCAGGGAAAACAGUACCCCAAAAUUUAAAAAGUAACUUUCAGGGAAGUCAUCUGAGGGUCCCCCUUAUUUGGGGCCCCUUCAAGUUCCCUUCUCAUUGCAGGACCUUUGGCAAGUAAAGGGAGACUUAGGCUGGUUUUCUGAUGACCUUAAUAAGUAUAUGGAAGCUUUCCAAUAUUUAACUCAGGUAUGUAACCUCUCAUGAAGGGAUGUUAUGUUGCUGCUAAGGCAAACCCUUACUGUAGGUAAAAUAAGCAGCUCUGCAAGCAGAAGAAAAUUUUGGAGAUAAGUAAUGUCUCCUAUAGAAGGCCAAAAGGGAAAAGAAAAAAAUAGGGAAGGCAAAGGGGAAACACCAUUCCCAAUAGGAAAAGAGGCAAUACCUCCUGACAACCCUAAUUGGAACUCCUUUCUGUGGUGUUUUUCCUUGUUUUGCAGUUUAAAAUGGCUUCUCUUUUAUAAUGUUCUUCCAACAUGGAAAAGGUUAAUUUUCCAAACCUUAAAAUGUUUGGCAUAGAGUUGAGCUAGGGGGAAGGAAACCCAGCCCAGAAGCCUGAUAUGCUGGCAAAAGGGUAAAAAUUUCUUACCAGUCAGGCUUUUGGCUUCUCUCUUCCUGUGGAAACCGGCAAAAGGGAUAAUAAAGAUCAUUGUUUAUGUUUUCUUUAAAUUUAUAGUUAAUGAAAAAGGAUUUGUGAGGUUGGUCUUAAGCUGUAAACAAUCUGCUCUUCUUUGUAUGUCUUUCUGUGUGGUUCUGUUAAAGAAAAGGUAUCUUAGGUCAGGAUGCAGGCCCAGAAACCCAUAAGCCUGCUGUUCAAACCAGCCCAGCAAAGUAUCCAGUGGCAAACUUGGCUACAGGCCUCCAUCUUGUUUCAUGUCAUGGGAACAUAAUCUGUAACCAUGUGGCAAUACUUUGUUUUUGUCUCCGCCAUUUUACAAUGGUGGCUGUCUUCUUGUGCUAAAUCAGAUAAGCCAGUUUGUCAGUCUGGGCUGUGUCAGCUGAUCCAUCAAGGGCAGGGUUUACAAAACAUCUUAAGCACUGAUCAUAACAGCCGUUUAGGGAGGGUCAAAAUCUUGUAGCCUCCAAUUGCAUGGCUCUUGGGCCAUGGUUUCUAAUCCUGUAGCUAGUUUCUUGGUCUGGUCCCCAGGCAAAAGGGAAGUAUAUCUUGAGAAGCAGCUGCUAUCUUCUUUGUUUUAGACUAUAAACUGUAAACCAAGCUCCUCCCCAACUUGAUUCAGCCUAUGCCCGGGGAUGGGCAAGGACAGUUUGGGGACUGGAAACAAAAUGGAGUUGUUUGGGUGAGAUCUCUUCCACUGUCUCAGUCACAAUUUUGCAGUGACAGUUUCAAAAGCUGCCUGUCCGGGUGGAUCACGAGGUCAGGAGUUCAAGACCAGCCUAGUCAACAUGACGAAACCCUGUCUCUACUAAAAAAACAAAAAUUAGCCAGGCGUGGUGGCAUGCACCUGUAGUCCUGGCUACUCAGGAAGCUGAGGCAGAGGAAUUGCUUGAACCCAGGAGGCAGAGGUUGCAGUGAGCCAAGAUCAUGCUACUGCACUCCAGCCUGGGUGACAGAGCAAGACUCUGUCUCAGCAAAAAAAAAAAAAAAAAAAAAAAGCUGCCUGUCACUCCUUUAAAAAUACCUUUUACACUCCUGGUUAAGUCAUAACCUAAUUAAAGCUCUUUAGUUUUACCUGUGAGGUUACUUAUUGUAAAGUUCAAAAGCCAAAAAUCUUAACUGCUUGGCAUGGCUAAGGUCAAGUAACAAAGGAUUUAGAAGAAUUUUCUUAAAGAGUGCUCAGCUUAAUUAAAAGUGGAAAAUCAAGUUAUAGGUAUAUUAAAAGGCCUUUAUGUUUUUUCUUUUCUUGAAUCUUGUUUUUCUGGAAAAAGGCUCAUCUCAGCCGACUGAAUUAUUUUUCUCCAUUUUUUGUCUUACUACUCUUAAUGCAUGUAUAAAAGGCCCUAAGAUAACUUCUGGUAGCAUGGGACUCCUCAGGAAACACAGAGGAGGCGCCACAGACCCCGUUUUGGGAAAAAACCCUCUGUUUUCCUCAUGAAACCCCAGGAAUUAAAAGCAAAUAAUUCCCUCUCAAAAUCAAAGGCUCUGUUCUGUUUUGCAUUGUGUUAUCUGAUGGUUUUGAGUUUUGGGGGUAUCAGAAAUUACUUCGCAUUUUUACAAGAAAGCUUUGGUGUGUAAUAAUCAAGUAGAAAAUACACUGUAAGGGAUGGCUAAUAGUAGUUAUAAAUCAGGGAUGCUCUUGGCCACCUGGAAGAUAAGGAAACAUCCUCACCCUGCACUGGGAGAUGAGACUCCCAUCAGGGAUGGGCUAAUUACAAAAUAAGCCAAUUGGCUUUGGGCUGCCUUGCAAUGCAAUGCAUGGUAGAAGCACUACACCGUCCUCUCCCAUAGUAUCUAUAUGGUCUUUUCAUAAAUUAAGCAUUAAAAUAAAAGCAUAGCAAGGAGGUCUUAAGACACUAAUCUGCCCCUUAGUAAAAGGGUUAUAAAAGGUUUGUAAAGAUUUCACCUUGGCCGGGUGCGGUGGCUCACACCUGUAACCCCAGCACUUUGGGAGGCCGAGGCGGGCAGAUCACCUGAGGUCGGGAGUUCGAGACCAGGCUGACAAACAUGGAGAAGCCCCGUUUCUACUAAAAAUACAAAAUUAGCCAGGGGUGGUGGCACAUGCCUGUAAUCCCAGCUACUUGGGAGGCUGAGGCAGGAGAAUCGCUUGAACCUGGGAGGCGGAGGUUGCAGUGAGCUGAGAUCAUGCCCUUGCACUCUAGCCUGUGCAACAAGAAUGAAACUCCAUCUCAAAAAAAAAAGAAAAAAAAAGAUUUCACCUCAUGGUCAAAUUGGUUAGGAUUUGAUGGAAUAAUCUAUAAGGUUUCGUGUAAACAAAUUGGGGUUAACAUUAAUAAACUAAUGCAAGGGUAAAAUUUUGCUUUGAACAAGAUUUUCAUUUCAUAAUAAAGGCUAAUGAAAGGAUUUUGCCUUUUGAGUCAUCAUUUUGGCAAAAUAAUUUAUGGCAAUCUGGAAAUUGUCCUUCCUGAUACCUAACUUUUUGAAUGGUUUAGAGGGGCCCUGAAACAUUCAGAAAAGAGGUAAACAGG